UACGGGGGGAGCAAGCGUUGUUCGGAAUCACUGGGCGUAAAGGGUGCGUAGGCGGGUCUUUAAGUCAGGGGGGAAAUCCUGGAGCUCAACUCCAGAACUGCCUUUGAUACUGAAGAUCUUGAGUUCGGGAGAGGUGAGUGGAACUGCGAGUGUAGAGGUGAAAUUCGUAGAUAUUCGCAAGAACACCAGUGGCGAAGGCGGCUCACUGGCCCGAUACUGACGCUGAGGCACGAAAGCGUGGGGAGCAAACAGG
rnacentral:rRNA from 1 species